CGCGUAGGCGGGAAUGCAAGUCAGAUGUGAAAUACCAAGGCUUAACCUUGGAACUGCAUCUGAAACUGUGUUUCUUGAGUGUCGGAGAGGAAAGCGGAAUUCCCCGUGUAGCGGUGAAAUGCGUAGAUAUGGGGAGGAACACCGGUGGCGAAGGCGGCUUUCUGGACGAUAACUGACGCUGAGGCACGAAAGCGUGGGUAGCAAACAGGAUUAGAUACCCUGGUAGUCCACGCUGUAAACGAUGGAUACUAGGUGUAGGAGGUAUCGACCCCUCCUGUGCCGCAGUUAACACAAUAAGUAUCCCACCUGGGGAGUACGGCCGCAAGGCUGAA
rnacentral:rRNA from 1 species